GAUGGUUGUAAACCUGAUCAUAGAGGGAAAAUAAAUUGUUGUUUCUGCCUGGCGAGAAUUAUGACACCAAGUCUUUCAUCUGUCUUGGAGCAAGAUUCACAAGAUUUGCACAGCUAGGACAUUUGGUAUCAUUCCUCUUCCGACUGUAGGUGGCGGAUUUGUCCGAUUUGAAUGCCACAGGCUAAAUGUGAACGUAAGCAGAACCUUCUCUUUCUGUGAUCCACCUGAAUAAUGCAUUGUCCUCUUGUGUCUUGUUGCAGAGAACCGGACCUUCCACACGGACAUUUGGCAGAUUCACCCAUGGUGUGUUGUCGGUGUGAGCUUUACACCAAUUCUUCUUUACCCUAUCGCCCCGGAACUUCUCUUCAUUUCUUUUAUUUUUGCGGAGGAGAUUUAAAAAAAAAAGUCAGAACUGCUUUGAAAUAAUUGAUAAGUUCAAGUUUUUGCUGCAGACCACUUGUGUGUUUUUGAGAGUUUCACUGCUCUCGAACAAGAGUGGCUUUUGUUGUUGUGCAUCCACCCCCACAACGCUGUAUUUUUGUAAUGGCACUGCUGCUCUCGCUGCAUAGAAAACCCUCGGAUGGAUCACGUCAGCGCAACAUUCAUGCACUUUGGAAGCACAUUUGAGCUAACUUCUAAUUCCAGGGUAGUUUAUGUUGUAGAUUCCUUCACGAAAACUGUAAAGUUAUAAACGGGUGGAUGUUCUUGUUUUUUUUCUUAAACUGACUCCUUUAUCAAGAGGCUGACAAUGAGGUGCAACCUGUUCUGUGGUUGUCGUCCUCCUUCACAGGUUCCCUAACCAGUAAACGUAUCUGUCAAGCCUCCCAACAGUUUGGCUGCUGAUUUUUUUUUUUAGACUAAUGGGUACGAAGAGGAUUGGUCGUGUGGGUGAGAGAGAUGCUGGUUUCCAUAGUAACGGUGCUCUCCCGUCUGCCCUCUCUUGCUGCCACUAUGGAAGCGAAGUUUUCCGCUCCUGCCGAAAGCAAAGCUAUGACUCUGAGACCACAGAGGAUGAGACCACAGAGCCUCAGAUGGAAACCAAAGAAGGCCCUGGGCGAUCCCAAGACAAGGCCGGUAGAAGAGGGCCCUCAGGUAUAUCCUAAAAAAAAAAAAAAAACUUUUCCUGUUUGUAUUCAUCAACUAUUAUCACCUAAAGCAUUACUUUGAAACCCGUUGCCCCGAGCGUA
rnacentral:lncRNA from 1 species